GACGAACGCUGGCGGCGUGCUUAACACAUGCAAGUCGAACGGAAAGGCCCUUCGGGGUACUCGAGUGGCGAACGGGUGAGUAACACGUGGGUGAUCUGCCCUGCACUUUGGGAUAAGCCUGGGAAACUGGGUCUAAUACCGAAUAGGACCACGCGCUUCAUGGUGUGUGGUGGAAAGCUUUUGCGGUGUGGGAUGGGCCCGCGGCCUAUCAGCUUGUUGGUGGGGUAAUGGCCUACCAAGGCGACGACGGGUAGCCGGCCUGAGAGGGUGACCGGCCACACUGGGACUGAGGUACGGCCCAGACGCCUACGGGAGGCAGCAGUGGGGAAUAUUGCACAAUGGGCGCAAGCCUGAUGCAGCGACGCCGCGUGAGGGAUGACGGCCUUCGGGGUGUAAACCUCUUUCAAUAGGGACGAAGCGCAAGUGACGGUACCUAUAGAAGAAGCACCGGCCAACUACGUG
rnacentral:rRNA from 1 species